rnacentral:misc_RNA from 1 species
AACCAAAGAUGGGCGAUGCAUUGCUUUUCUGGAGCAUGAAACCUGACGCCUCUCUGGAUCCUUCGAGCCUGCAUGGUGGUUGCGCAGUGAUUAAAGGGAAUAAGUGGUCAGCUACCAAGUGGAUGCGUGUGAAUGAGUACAAAGUCUGAACUAUACUCUUAAAGUUAAUUGUAUGACUAAACAUCUGAAUUGUAAUAUGCCACUCCUGAGAGCGAGCACCAGCACCAACGGACGCUGAGUAGGCGUGUAACCUACUUGUAUACAGCUGAGCAUAAAUUUUGAUAUUCCACCGUUGGGAGCCUUUCAUUGGAUAGUUUUAUUUACGGUAAAUCAGAAUUAGGUUGAGCAUUUGAGUUGCUGAUACAGAAAUGCUCAUGUCCUAAUUUGUAACUGAGAUUAUAUUUGUUUUGUCCAAUAAUAAAUUUCUAUGGAAGUAUUUGUUUUAUCCAUUAAUACAUUUUUGUGGAAGACAAUGGCUCCCCCUUUUUA